AGAGUUUGAUCCUGGCUCAGGAUGAACGCUAGCGGCAGGCUUAACACAUGCAAGUCGAGGGGUAUAAUGGCUUCGGCUGUUAGAGACCGGCAAACGGGUGCGGAGCACGUACGCAACAUACCUUUUUCACGAGAAUAGCCCAGAGAAAUUUGGAUUAAUACUCGAUGGUAUUAUCUAGUGGCAUCACGAGAUAAUUAAAGAAAUUCGGAAAAAGAUUGGCGUGCGUCCCAUUAGCUAGUUGGCGGGGUAACGGCCCACCAAGGCGACGAUGGGUAGCUGAUGUGAGAGGAUGAUCAGCCACACUGGGACUGAGACACGGCCCAGACUCCUACGGGAGGCAGCAGUGGGGAAUCUUGGACAAUGGGCGCAACCCUGAUCCAGCCAUUCCGCGUGAGUGAAGAAGGCCUUCGGGUUGUAAAGCUCUUUUGUCCGGAACGAAACGGGUAAGGCUAAUACCUUUGCCUACUGACGGUACCGGAAGAAUAAGCACCGGCUAACUACGUGCCAGCCGCCGCGGUAAUAC
rnacentral:rRNA from 1 species